rnacentral:misc_RNA from 1 species
AAGUCGUAACAAGGUUUCCGUAGGUGAACCUGCGGAAGGAUCAUUAAUGUAUAAUCCUUAUGGGUUUUACAAUCCAUAUCCACCUUUGUGCACUUGUAAACUGUUAGCUCCCUUUCGGGCGCACCACCAAAAACAGCAAUGGCUUCACUCAAGGACUUUAUGUCUGCAGGUUUGGUCUUUGCUGGGUGUGUUCGGAAGGGUCAGCAUUUUCUAUAUACCUCUUGAUUUAAACUACUUGUCUGAAGUCUUCUUUCAAGUUGGUCUCGGCCAAUUGAAAGUUAAAUCUUAAUAUAAAUACAACUUUCAACAACGGAUCUCUUGGCUCCCA